UUGGAGGGCAAGUCUGGUGCCAGCAGCCGCGGUAAUUCCAGCUCCAAUAGCGUAUAUUAAAGUUGUUGCAGUUAAAAACGCUCGUAGUUGAAUUUCGGGAUCAAGGGAUCGGUCAUGCCUUGGUAUGUACUGGUUUUAUUGGUUCUCACCUUCUAAAGAACCCAUAAUGUCAUUCAUUUGAUGUUAUGGGGAAUUAGGACUGUUACCUUGAAAAAACUUAGAGUGUUUAAAGCAAGCUUACGCUUGAAUACAUUAGCAUGGAAUAAUGGAAUAGG
rnacentral:rRNA from 1 species